AGUAAUGUAUGGGGAUCUGCCUGAUGGCGGGGGGUAACUACUGGAAACGGUAGCUAAUACCGCAUAAUGUCUGCGGACCAAAGCGGGGGACCUCCGGGCCUCGCGCCAUCAGAUGAACCCAUAUGGGAUUAGCUUGCAGGUAAGGUAACGGCUUACCUAGGCGACGAUCCCUAGCUGGUCUGAGAGGAUGAUCAGCCACACUGGGACUGAGACACGGCCCAG
rnacentral:rRNA from 1 species